UUCUAUAUUUACAUUUGCCAGUUGGCUUGUGCACCCAGCUUUACUAUGGAUUACAUGAGUGCAAGGAAUUUUCUCUAGUUAUAUAUAUAUAUAUUUUUUUUUAUUGGGGUAGCUCCCAAAAUAUUGGGACAUAUGAAAAAAAGACAACUCUGUUCUGCAGAGUAGCUGUUGACAUUAUAGUUGCGCAGGAACUUUGUUGACUCUAGAGAACCUUGGGCAAAUCGCACAUUCCCGUGGCGGCGACUUUGCAUGCGGAUGUCAUCCAUAUCAAUUUUCGAUGCCAGUUUCUGUGUCUACCGUGGUGACCACAGGUAACUGGGAAUCAGGGUUCCAUUCCGUACAGGGACCAUGGGAAACUGCUACCACAUGCAAGGAAGGCAGCAGGCGUGCAAAUGACCCAUUCCCAACGCGGGAAGGUAGUGACGACAAAUAACAAUACAGGACUCUUUAGAGGUCCUGUAAUUGUAAUGAGUCCACUUGAAAUCAUUUAACUCUGAUCAAUUGGAGGGAAGUCUGGUGCAGAGCCACUGACCCAUGCGUGCUGCAGCUGAAACUCCACUA